rnacentral:rRNA from 1 species
AUGGCGGAGGCGCCGCCGCCCAAGCUGCUCUACAUUGCCGUCGCCGACGGCGGCGGCCGGCGGGCGUUCCGGUACACCCGCCCCGUCCUGCAGAGCACCCUCCAGCUCAUGGGCUGCAAGGCUCGCCACGCCUUCAAGAUUAGCAAGAGAGUGUUCAGUGUGAUGAGGAGUGAAUUCUUGGAUGCAUCAAGGUCAGACAGGGCUGUUAAAGAAGAAAAUGCCUCUAGCCUGGGCAUUGGAGAAGAUGCUGAGAUGCUUAACACAGAUAUUCUAGACGCAACUGGCAGCAGCUUGCCCUUCGAAUUGUACAAGACGCAGACAACGAUUCUUGUUUCAAGAGAGAGGUUUCUGAAUAUCGUGUGUGAUGCACUCUCUUCUUACAAGUAUGUUGGACCAAACCAGAAGGCUGACUUGCUUCUUGCUUGCAGAAUUAAGGAGAAAAAGGAAUCGGUGACAGUACUCUUGUGUGGGACAAGCGGAUGCGGCAAGUCUACCCUAUCGUCUCUGUUGGGUAGUAGAUUGGGCAUAACGACAGUGGUUUCUACUGAUUCCAUACGCCAUAUGAUGAGAAGCUUUGCAGAUGAAAAGCAAAAUCCACUUCUCUAUGCGUCAACCUACCAUGCAGGAGAAUACUUGGACCCUGUUGCAGUUGCUCAGUCAAAGGCUAAGCGCCAGGCAAAGAAGCUCGCAAUGGUUUCUCAUCCUAACACCAGUGAAGGCCAAGAUGACACUUCAGAUGUUAAAUCUCGCCAUGGAUCCUCAGUAUUACCUCCUAGGACCGAGCUGAUUGGCAGCAAACAAAUGGCGAUAGAAGGGUUCAAGGCGCAAAGCGAGAUGGUCAUCGACAGCCUGGACAGAUUAAUUACAUCCUGGGAAGAGCAGAAGCAAUCUGUUAUUGUUGAAGGAGUUCAUUUGAGCCUCAAUUUUGUGAUGGGGCUAAUGAAGAAACAUCCUUCCAUAAUACCAUUUAUGGUCUACAUUGCAAAUGAGGAGAAGCACAUGGAACGGUUUGCUGUACGCGCAAAGUACAUGACACUGGACCCAGCAAAGAACAGAUAUAUCAAGUACAUCCGGAACAUCAGGGCUAUCCAGGAGUACCUUUGCAACCGAGCAGACAAGCAUCUGGUACCCAAAAUUAACAACACUAACGUUGACCAGAGCGUGGCAGCGAUACAUGCCACGGUUUUCAGCUGUCUUCGCCGGCGAGAAGUUGGGGAGCAGUUGUAUGACCUCAACACAAACACCGUUCCUGUAGUGGAUGAGGAAUACAGGAACCAGCGUGCAGCUAACUCCUUGGGUUCCAAGGGCAUGUUCCAGCUCAUUCAAAGGAAGGGGUCUUCGAGGAACCUGAUGGCUCUCCUUAACCCUGAUGGUUCGGUGACUAAGGCUUGGCAUGUAGAUUCAGGUGAUGGCAAUGCUAAUGGCAAUACAGGCAGUGGUAGAUCAGUAGGAAAUCAUAUGGUUAACCCAUCACUAAUUGGGAAGGCGGAGUCAGUUAAUCUCCAGUUUGGUUCUUUCGGGAUUAGCGCGUGGCUGAGUGACACAGGUGGCGGCACCAGCCAUGCUGGAAGUGUAGAUGACCUGAGGGCUGAUGGGAUCGAGACAGGCGGUAGAUACUUCUCCUCAUGCUGCAGCUCACCAAAGACGUCAGACUGCGCCUCCAAAGAGCAUAUGGAGGAUUAUUCAGUCUAUGGUAGUGAAGAGGAUGCUGACGACCCACCUGACGCUGAAACUGAUGAGGAUCUAACUGAUGAAGAAAGAGAUGUUCAUGAGAUUGAAGCGGGAUCAGUCGACGAGCACUCCACCAAGUCUGACGAGGAGUACGAUGACCUAGCGAUGCAGGACGUGAUGGGGAACGGCAACUGCUCCGACGACGACGAGCAGGCUGCGGGGUACGGCGCCAGGAGGUCACCGCCCAUGGAAGAGAGCAUCCUCGGAGCAGAUGACGCCAUGGUGGAGGGCAGGUACCACCACAACCUGGACCUCUUCACAAUGUCCAAGGACGUCGCUGCCACAAAGAUGCCGUGCGCGUGA